ACUCAAAUGAAUUGACGGGGGCCCGCACAAGCAGUGGAGCAUGUGGUUCAAUUCGAUGCAACGCGAAGAACCUUACCCGGGUUUGAAAGGCCAGUGACAACCGAUGAAAGUCGGUCUUGUAGCAAUACACACUGGUACAGGUGCUGCAUGGCUGUCGUCAGCUCGUGCCGUGAGGUGUUAGGUUAAGUCCUGCAACGAGCGCAACCCCUACAUUUAGUUGCCAUCAGGUCAAGCUGGGCACUCUAAAUGGACUGCCUACGCAAGUAGCGAGGAAGGUGGGGAUGACGUCAAGUCCUCAUGGCCCUUACAUCCGGGGCCACACACGUGCUACAAUGGCCACUACAAAGGGUUGCAAAGCCGCGAGGUGAAGCUAAUCCCAAAAAAGUGGUCUCAGUUCGAAUUGGAGUCUGCAACUCGACUCUAUGAAGCUGGAAUUGCUAGUAAUCGCUGAUCAGCACGCAGCGGUGAAUACGUUCCCGGGCCUUGUACACACCGCCCGU
rnacentral:rRNA from 1 species